UACGUAGGGUGCAAGCGUUGUCCGGAAUUAUUGGGCGUAAAGAGCUCGUAGGCGGUUUGUCGCGUCUGCUGUGAAAACCCGAGGCUCAACCUCGGGCCUGCAGUGGGUACGGGCAAACUAGAGUGCGGUAGGGGAGAAUGGAAUUCCCGGUGUAGCGGUGAAAUGCGUAGAGAUCGGGAGGAACACCAGAGGCGAAGGCGGCUCACUGGACAGUUACUGACACUCAACUACGAAAGCGUGGGGAGCAAACAGG
rnacentral:rRNA from 1 species